UCUUUUAAGUUUGCUGUCACCGUCAGAGAUCAGAUUCCUCAAGCACUCUAUCUUUCUUACAAGAAUGGACUCACUUGGAAACUCACCUGGCUGUCCCUUGCAGCUCUACUUCUCAAGUCAUCUACUAUCACCAUCUGCCUGUCCACGCUCCCGCAUUUAAUCAUGAAGAUUCCCUGCAGAAAGGAAACCAUUUAGGAACGAUGCCACCUUCCACAACAUGUUUCACUGCAGGCGGCUUGGAGCAAAGAGAGUUCUCCCCAGAGCCUUGACCUAACCCCCACUUCAAAUUGUGAUCUGCAAAACAAAUCCAUAGCCAUUGGAUAAAAAUACUUUCACAGAGUCUUCGGGAUAAUAAAUCUGAUUCACUGAUACUGGUGACUUAUGUCCGAUUUUAGAAAAACAAAAAAUCAAAACAUGGACGGGAACAAAAUAAUAGAUUGAUGAGAAGAAGGCCCUCCAACCUCAACGACAUGGAACUCAUCACUGAAGAUAUAUAAUCCAAAUGACCAUAAAAACAUCAAAAAUCAAAUAAAAUUUGCUGCUGUAAUAUGAGUCAUCCAAUGAAAGGGUAUUCAUACUGACAAUCUGUUUUUGUAAUAAUAUAUUUUUUAAAAAUCGAUAAUUUUAAGACAGAUUUUUUUCUUUUUUUUAAGUGACUGUCUAAUUUACUGUAAAAAAGGUAAUAAUUGGUUGAUAAUACCGAGUGUACCCAGUACCCAUUGUAUUUGUCUGUAUCAUUGUUGUAUUAUCAGUGUUCUAAGAGUGCAUUUUUAAGACUUCACAGCUAAAAAACCUAUUUGCAUUGAUAUUAAAUGAUCCAUGUCAUUAAAAGGUCUGUAAUCUGAGAGCUGAAA